rnacentral:tRNA from 1 species
GUAGAGGCUCAGUGGUAGAGUGCUCCCCUAGUGUGUGGGAGGCACUGGGUUCGAUUCUCAGCAACA